rnacentral:rRNA from 1 species
GACGUAGGAGGCGAGCGUUAUCCGGAUUCACUGGGCGUAAAGCGCAUGUAGGCGGUUGGACAAGUCGUGUGUUAAAGCCCCCGGCUCAACUGGGGGAGGUCAUGGGAGACUGUGCGACUUGAGGGCAAGAGAGGCACGUGGAACUCCCGGUGUAGCGGUGGAAUGCGUAGAGAUCAGGAAGAACACCAGUGGCGAAGGCGACGUGCUGGGUUGCACCUGACGCUGAGAUACGAAAGUGUGGGGAGCAAACGGG